GCGGAUGGUCGGGUGACUGCGUCGUUUUUAUGACGAGGAAAGUCCGGACUCCAAAGAGAAGUGACGCCGGGUAACGCCCGGCCAAGGUAACUUGAGGGAUAGCGCCACAGAAAAAAUACCGCUCAGAUUCGAGAGUAAGGGUGAAAAGGUAAGGUAAGAGCUUACCGCUAACAUGGUAACAUGUUAGGCAUGGCAAGCCCCGUCAGGAGCAAAAUCAAAUAGGAACUGCAUGGGUCUUCCCAGAGUUCUCCACUUUAGCAGUUCGGGUAGAUUGCUUGAGUUUACCGGUAACGGUGCACCUAGAUGAAUAGUCACAAUGGUAUUGAUAUCAUUACAAAAUCCGGCUUAUAGGCCAUCCGCAAAA
rnacentral:RNase_P_RNA from 1 species